rnacentral:rRNA from 1 species
UGGGGAAUUUUGGACAAUGGGCGAAAGCCUGAUCCAGCAAUGCCGCGUGUGUGAAGAAGGCCUUCGGGUUGUAAAGCACUUUCGUCCGGAAAGAAAUGGCUCUGGUUAAUACCUGGGGUCGAUGACGGUACCGGAAGAAUAAGGACCGGCUAACUACGUG